rnacentral:misc_RNA from 1 species
GAUGAAGAACGUAGCGAAAUGCGAUAAGUAAUGUGAAUUGCAGAAUUCAGUGAAUCAUCGAAUCUUUGAACGCACAUUGCGCCCGCCAAUAUUCUGGCGGGCAUGCCUGUUCGAGCGUCAUUUCAACCCUCAAGCCCCCGGGCUUGGUGUUGGGGAUCGGCGUGCCCUCGCGGCGCGCCGUCCCCUAAAUCUAGUGGCGGUCUCGCUGUAGCUUCCUCUGCGUAGUAGCAACACUCGCACUGGAUCGCAGCGCGGCCACGCCGUUAAACCCCCCACUUCUGAAAGUUUGACCUCGGAUCAGGUAGGAAUACCCGCUGAACUUAAGCAUAUCAAUAAGCGGAGGA